GGAUUCAGUUGUUUUCAGUAUAAUCUCAUUGUCUUUAAUGAAAAUGCAACAAGGACCAUGAUAUGGUUUGGCUCUGUGUCUCCACCCAAAUCUCAUGUUGAAUUGUAAUCCUUGGUGUUGGGGUAGGGACCUGGUGGGAGGUGGUUGGAUCAUGGUGGGGGGGUUCCCCACUUGCUGUUCUCGUGAUAGUGGAUUAUCAUGAGAUCUGGUUGUUUAAAAGUGUGUAGCACUUCCCUUUGCUCUAUCACUCUCUCCUGCUGCCACGUGAAGAAGAUAUUUGCUUCCCCUUUGCCUUCCACCAUGAUUGUAAGUUUCCUGAGGCCUCCCAUUCAUGCUUCCUGUUAAGCCUGCAGAACCGCUUGGGUCCCAGCUCCAAAAUGUCUCAUUAUCUGUAUUUGAAUAUCCCCAAAUUUGAAAAAUUCAAAAUCUGAAACACUUCUGAUCCCAAGCAUUUCAGACUCCUAAGAGUUAAUACGAAGUAGAAAGAGAAGUUGGAGUUAAGCAGCUCGUUCCAGUUCUGAUUUUGCCAUUUCCUGUCUGAGUGACCUGAAAAGAACGUCGGUCCUGGCAGUCUUUCAGCCACAAAGCUUUGAGAAAUGGGGCUAAAUAUUAAUAAUAACUGCUUGGAUUAUAAUGAGGAAUCAAUCAAAACACAUACUGUUGAUGAAGAUGCCUUGAACACCGUGGAUGCUGUAGAAUAAGGGAUUAUGACUACAGCAAUUCUUGGCUCCCUUCUCUGUUUGUUUAAGGGUUACACAGGCUUUGUUUAAUAUCUCCGUGUCUCAGUCCUUUCGGUUGAAGCACAAGGCAUGCUUCAGCCACCUGAGAUUAACUGCUAAACCCUGCAGCAAGCCAGCAUCUCCUCCCUGCUGCCUCUCAUCCGUCAGGAUCUGCUCUGGAAAUGGGCCAGUGGUGACGUGUGGGAAUGCAGCCCUUUGUGUUUGUUUUUGGUGUUGGAUUUGGUGGCCUUGGUCACGGAUUGGCUUCCUUCUUUGAAACUGAACAUCUUCCAUGCCUUUGUGAUUGAGUGACAAAAGUUCAACCUGCACAUGCCAAAAUGAACAGCCUAGAAAACUGAUUAUGGUUUCAGGACCAGCUUUAAAAAAAAGCAACAAAACCCUUCCAGUCACCCAGAGUUCUAAACAUAAUCGGUUGGUUCCCAGAAGUACAAUAAAAGGAAGCCAG
rnacentral:lncRNA from 1 species